UCUCUCUCUCUCUCACACACACACCAAUACACACACUAAAUAAACACACAAAAACACUUGCGGAUAUAAAUAACAAUCAAUCAAGCAACGAAACUUGCAUCUAUUUCCUUUAUCUACAAAUUUGAUCGAGUACAUAAAACAAACUUCUCAAAAUUCAUUAUUUCUUACAAAUAAGAUCACAUACAUCAUAUCAACUUAUAAUUGAUCAUUUCUUUUUAUUCAAGGCACACACUAUAACUUUCAUACCAAAUAAGAUUAAAAAAAAUAAUAAUAA